ACGCUGGCGGUAGGCUUAACACAUGCAAGUCGUGCGAGAAAGUAUCUUCGGAUAUGAGUAUAGCGGCGGACGGGUGAGUAACGCGUAGGAAUCUACCUAGUAGAAGGGGAUAGCCCGAGGAAACUCGGAUUAAUACCGUAUACCUCCUUAGGGAGAAAGAGGGCCUCUCUUGAUGCUCUCGCUAUUAGAUGAGCCUGCGUAAGAUUAGCUUGUUGGUGAGGUAAUGGCUCACCAAGGCUACGAUCUUUAGCUGGUCUGAGAGGACGAUCAGCCACAUUGGGACUGAGACACGGCCCAGACUCCUACGGGAGGCAGCAGUGGGGAAUAUUGGACAAUGGGCGCAAGCCUGAUCCAGCCAUACCGCGUGUGUGAAGAAGGCCCUAGGGUUGUAAAGCACUUUAAGCAGGGAGAAAAAGCUAUAAGUUAAUACCUUAUAGCCCUGAUGUUACCUGCAGAAUAAGCACCGGCUAAUUCCGUGCCAGCAGCCGCGGUAAUACGGAAGGUGCAAGCGUUAAUCGGAAUUACUGGGCGUAAAGCGCGCGUAGGUGGUUUGUUAAGUUGGAUGUGAAAGCCCUGGGCUCAACCUAGGAACUGCAUCCAAAACUAACUCACUUGAGUACGAUAGAGGGAGGUAGAAUUCAUAGUGUAGCGGUGGAAUGCGUAGAUAUUAUGAAGAAUACCAGUGGCGAAGGCGGCCUCCUGGAUCUGUACUGACACUGAGGUGCGAAAGCGUGGGUAGCGAACAGGAUUAGAUACCCUGGUAGUCCACGCCGUAAACGAUGACAACUAGCUGUUGGGAGACAAAGUCUUUCAGUGGCGCAGCUAACGUUUUAAGUUGUCCGCC
rnacentral:rRNA from 1 species